GCAGCACAGCGCCGCCGCCGGGAGCCGCCUCACAGCGCCUCGCAUCGCCUCACGGCGGGAGCGGCGCCCGCGGGCUGCGCGGAACCGGCGCGCUGGGGUCGUUACACAGCACCCCGGGUUUAGGCAGCGCCUGAGACGGCCCAGGCGCUUCCCAGGGAGAGGCGGUGUAGCGGGAUGUCGGCGAUGUGCCUCGCUACUAGCAGCAGCGCUUCUUGUACCGAGCAGAGCUGGGAGCGCACGGAGGUGCUGGAGGUGGACUGACAAUAAACGCUGAAUCAAGAAGACUUCAGGGGAGAAUAAAGACAGGAGCUACUGCUCAACAGGUUGUCAAGCUACAGUCAGAAUUCGAGCUGUACUGGUAUCACUGGUCAGAUUUGAGUAUUACUGGUGUUAAUUCUGAGUUCCUGAAACCAGCGAUUUGCUAGUGCUGUUCCAUAAUGCGCUACAUUGCCUCUCUUUACUUAAAAUCUCAUAUCUGAUAUUUUUAAUGUUAAGGUCAAUGCUAUUGAUCGUGUAGAUCUGUUCUUCUGCUGCAUUUUUUCAAGGCACAUACAGAGAGGGUAACUAAUCUUAAUAUCUUGUGUUUGCAACCCUGUUUAGCAUGAAAUCGGUAACUGACAUAUUAAUUAUAAUAAUCUGUUAAAUAUACUUUACCUACAUGUUAAUUAUAGCAGACCAUUCUCAUUUAUUUCUCUGGGUAGGCUAUUAAUUCAACCCAGAUGGUACAGCUUUUUGAGACUGCAACACUCAGUGUGAACAGAAUAAAUCAUGUUGCCAAGAUACAGGAGCAAAAAUGUUAUCACAUCUGAAUAGGCUUUAAAAUGAUAUAACCAUGAAAAAAUCUUACCUUUUAAUCAGGGAAGAGGCUUAGUUAGAGCAAGGUCAGUAGCCCAGGCCUGUUCUGUAAGGCAGGAAGCACAACUUGGAAGUACAGGAAUUUCUUUUAUGUCCCAGAUUAUCAGCCAUUUUGGGAUACCUUUCUUUCCUGCCAUAAGUAUGUAACCUGAAAGACAUAAUGCAAAAUAACUCUGCCCCUCAAUAAAAACUGAUGUUAAGAUUUCAAAUAAUCUAAUUUGUUUACUUUGGAAGCAAAAGGAUACAUCUUGGUUAU